rnacentral:rRNA from 1 species
UGGGGAAUUUUGGACAAUGGGGGAAACCCUGAUCCAGCCAUCCCGCGUGUGCGAUGAAGGCCUUCGGGUUGUAAAGCACUUUUGGCAGGAAAGAAACGUCGCGGGUUAAUACCCCGCGAAACUGACGGUACCUGCAGAAUAAGCACCGGCUAACUACGUGCCAGCAGCCGCGGUAAUACGUAGGGUGCAAGCGUUAAUCGGAAUUACUGGGCGUAAAGCGUGCGCAGGCGGUUCGGAAAGAAAGAUGUGAAAUCCCAGAGCUUAACUUUGGAACUGCAUUUUUAACUACCGGGCUAGAGUGUGUCAGAGGGAGGUGGAAUUUCGCGUGUAGCAGUGAAAUGCGUAGAUAUGCGGAGGAACACCGAUGGCGAAGGCAGCCUCCUGGGAUAACACUGACGCUCAUGCACGAAAGCGUGGGGAGCAAACAGGAUUAGAUACCCUGGUAGUCCACGCCCUAAACGAUGUCAACUAGCUGUUGGGGCCUUCGGGCCUUGGUAGCGCAGCUAACGCGUGAAGUUGACCGCCUGGGGAGUACGGUCGCAAGAUUAAAACUCAAAUGAAUUGAC